GUGUUCUUCAGCAUUUCCAGAAAUUCAUGUCAGUUGACAAGUUAGCCACUUUGACCAUACUUUGAUCAGUGAUUAUAAGGUUUUAUAGGCAGUAUUAAGCAUCAAUCAUGUAGUAUAUAUGUAAUACUACACAUAUCAGUCAUCAACUAUGUUAUACAACAUCACACGUGGAAGAUCUGGGCCUCCAAAAUAUCUGACAACACUGUUCUUCAUUUUCUGGGUUUUCCAGAAAAUGAAGAACAGUCGAGGGUACUAGUUUUCGAUCCUUAUAACGUGAAUCCUAAAACUUGUUUUGGUGAACCAUUG
rnacentral:lncRNA from 1 species